UGUUUUGAUUUUAAUUCUUUAAAAAUAUUUUAUUUAUUCAUAAAAAUCCCAAAAAAUAUUUUCUACUUUUCGUAUUUUUUUAAUAUUAAUAUUUUAUUUUAAUUAUCUAUUCUAAAUGGUCCAUUUUAACACACAUUUUCUUCUUGAUUUUAUUUUCAUGACUUAGAAUUAUUUUUAGCUUUUGAUUUUUGGGAUGAAGGUUGACCAAUGUCCCAUGGUCAACCUGAUCUUUUCUUGGAAUUUUAUUUCCCAUUUUUAACUUAUUUUGGAUUUAUUUUUGACCUAGUUUGGUUGGUUGACUUUUGGUUUGACUUAUGUUUUGUUUCAAUUAAUUUAUGUACCAAUUUUAAUUAUUUUUAAAAUCUUUUUGGGGGAUGAUGAUGUCCUGACCCCACCUCAUUUAGUUUAAUUUUUCAUAAUUUUCUU
rnacentral:lncRNA from 1 species